UUAUUUUUACCGAUUAAGCCACAUCGCCGCCCCACUCUUUUUCUUUAUGCAGAGGAAACUUUUCCAUUCGCAAAUCAGUUUUCUCUUUCAGAUUUUUUCCCCACCCCUCUUCUCUUUAUUUUCAAUUCGCUCUUGCUCUCUCUCUCUCUCUCUCUAGCAAAAUAGUCGAGUUCUUCUUCAGAUUUCCUUUCUAUUAGGUUAUUAAUCCAAAACUCAAGCAUGUAAAAUAUUACCUUCAAGUGUAGCAGAUCGAAUAGAUAAAGACUUUUGCGAUUAAGAAGUGGAGGCGAAGAUCGAAAGGAGAAUGAAGAAGACGAUUGAGGCAAAGUACGUGAAAUUGUUGAAUUAUUCAGAGGAAUACAUAGAGAAGAUGAAUAACGAACAGUUGCAAAGAACACUAUUCAUCUGUAUCUUCCUCUUCCACAAACUAACAUUGUUGAACAAUUCACACCUGAUCUAUUUUUGUAGUCUUCUUCUUUUUGAUUCAGUGCUCGCUGAAGCCGAUUUCGACUUUCACAUUAGAAGAUCCUUUUAUUCAUGUUUGAAGAAAAAGAAAAUAUUGAGUGAUUAUUUCUUUUAAUUCUUAUCUCUUAUUUCUAUGAAAUCUCCUUUUUCUUGGUGAUUUUUCCUCCUCCUCCUCCUCCUCCUCCUCCUACUCCUACUCCUUCUUCUCACUUUUAAUGACUUCCGAAG
rnacentral:lncRNA from 1 species